GAUGAACGCUGGCGGCGUGCCUAAUACAUGCAAGUCGAGCGAACAGACGAGGAGCUUGCUCCUCUGACGUUAGCGGCGGACGGGUGAGUAACACGUGGAUAACCUACCUAUAAGACUGGGAUAACUUCGGGAAACCGGAGCUAAUACCGGAUAAUAUAUUGAACCGCAUGGUUCAAUAGUGAAAGACGGUUUUGCUGUCACUUAUAGAUGGAUCCGCGCCGCAUUAGCUAGUUGGUAAGGUAACGGCUUACCAAGGCAACGAUGCGUAGCCGACCUGAGAGGGUGAUCGCCCACUCUGAAACUGAGACACGGUCCAGACUCCUGCGAGGGGCAGCAGUAGAAAAUUUCCCGAAGUGGCGAAGCCCUGACGAGCAACCGCCGCGGAGUGAAUGAAGUCCUCCGAUUCGUAAACCCUUUUAAUUGGGAAAAACCAAAUUUGAAGGUACCUUUGCCGGUCUGAACGUAACCAAAUCGGAAACCCACGCCAACUUACUU
rnacentral:rRNA from 1 species